CCGUAGCCCAAGAGAUCGGGAUAACACCUGGAAACAGAUGCUAAUACCGGAUAACAACAGAUGAUGCCUAUCAACUGUUUAAAAGAUGGUUCUGCUAUCACUCUUGGAUGGACCUGCGGUGCAUUAGCUAGUUGGUAGGGUAACGGCCUGCCAAGGCGAUGAUGCAUAGCCGAGUUGAGAGACUGAUCGGCCACAUUGGGACUGAGACACGGCCCAAACUCCUACGGGAGGCAGCAGGU
rnacentral:rRNA from 1 species